CUGCUGUAAAACAUUAACCUCCAAAUAAGAAAAGAAAGCAAGAAAAAGUGGUAAAGAAAUGUAAUAUACAAUACACUGCAGACUUGUGAGGUAGAAGAGAUGUUUUUCUCUACAUUUAUACAAUUCUCCUUUUUUCUAAAAAACUAUUUUCUGCACUGCUUUUGUAAGGUUAGCUGCCUGAAACUUAGAUGUACCAUCUAAGAAGAAGGGAAAAGAAAAUGGCUAGCAGUUACGUUCAUUUCUACUUGCUUUAUCCAAAUUUUAAAGUUCCCAUUCCUUUAAUUCUGAAUCUUUGUGAUAAAAGAUAGAGAGCAAUUAUAUCCCUUGUCCAAAGUGUCUUUCUUUCACAAAGCAGAAAUGAGUCAAUUUUCCAAGUGCCUGCUGAGUACCAGAGGGGCCAGAACGUCUACUGUGGUUUACAGAGCAUCAGAAUUCUGCUUAUCCAUCUGACCUCCCUACAAGUGCUGCCAGCACAAAGCCGGCCCUGUGGAUUCAGACAAAGAAAUGAGGAUGCACAACAGAACCUGGAAGACCACCAGCAGCACGGUAGUUAGGUCACUCAGAGUGGGCAACAAUAGCAGAAAGAAUGGUAAUAACAGUAGAGGGUUCGCAAGGAAAAAGGGCCUGUCGCUUGAAAUCAAAGACAUGAGGUCCACGAGUGGGCCAGUUUUUGUCCCUUUAGGCAUGAGAUGAUGUUAGCAUAGACCACCUUUUCUUGCUUUGACAGAAAUCUUAUGAAUUUUUUUAUUUAAUAGGAAGGAAAGAGGUCAAAAGGAGAAGGGGAAAUAGAGAAAAAGAGAAACACCUGCAUGCAGCCCAGCUUCACCACUCAUGAAGCCUUCCCCUGCAGGUGGGAACCAGGAGCUUGAACCCUGGUUUUCGCAUUGGUAACAUAAAAGCUCAGCCAGGUGCAACAUCAUCCAGACCUCACAGCCCCCAGGUUCCAGAUGCCAUCAGGAUGCCGGCCAGGCUUCCCUGGACUGAAGACCCCACCAAUGAG